AGUACAUAGAAAGCUUAAAGUACAUCACAACAUAACGGUGGGCCUCACCUACAUCAUGGGGUCAUAGCCAUUCGUUAAUAAGGUGCUUAUGGUGAAAGAAGAGGCGAUUCUACGAGAAUGGUUUAAAAUAGGGGUUUUUGGUCGACGCGGCCAUAUAUAGAAAAAUCCCAGUCAGAAGACGAGUUUCAACGGAUCAAAGGUUAGGAUUAUUCAACCAAUCUUGUUUUUUUUUUUUGGAUGGUGGCUCAGCGACUGCGUAUUAGGCGUCAUACGUAGCCAGAGUAUCAAACAACUCCUUUCACUGCUCUCUCUCACUCUCAUUUCUUUAAUUGGAAUAACGAUCCGUGUCCUGCACACAACCUGUUCGAUGGAAUGCUCAUGAGUAGAUCUUCACAUCAAGCUUCAAAGAGGAGGGAUAUAUGCAGAGAUGUUGAAGAGGGACCAGCUUUGCAUCCUUGAUUUUAUGAUCUUGUUGGUGGAUUAAGAACAAAAUGCCUCACCGAACAAGGCCUAUGACUGCACUCUUGGUUUUCAUGGGAGUUGAUGUUGUCUUGGUGUCGACAAUCACUCCGGUUUAUGAUUUUGUGUGCUUCCAUUCUUACUGCGAAAGAAGGAGAGAACAUCGUCGCCAGGAACGUGAAACUGCCAUGGCAAAGGGUCCCCAGUCAAGUUAAAGGGGUGGUGUUCAGAGCCAGAUAUUCUUUCAUACAGCUCGAGGAAGAAGAAAAGGCUUUUUAUUGUUGUUAUGGUGUUUGGUUUCACUCCAUGUGGGUGUGAUUGUUUGUUGAAGAAGAAUGAUAUGAUCUUCAACCUGAGAAAUGCACAUCCUACUUUGGUUUUCAGUUUCUACAGGUGAGGCUAUGGUUCCAUGAUCCAAACCAUUCUUUCGUUGGCCCCAUUUGUUGAUGGACCAUGGCCCUCAUCAGGAUGAUCGUUGUUGCCUUUCAAUUAUUUGGCCAACAAAUAGAUUUUUUUUUUUUCCUUUUGAAGGAUGAUCAGCAAAUAGAUAGUCAAGGUGACAAAUACUACAGU